CCAUCGGUGGUUCAGUGGUAGAAUGCUCGCCUGCCACGCGGGUGGCCCGGGUUCGGUUCCCGGCCGAUGUA
rnacentral:tRNA from 1 species